rnacentral:rRNA from 1 species
UACGUAGGUCCCGAGCGUUAUCCGGAUUUAUUGGGCGUAAAGCGAGCGCAGGUAGUUUAUUAAGUCUGGUGUAAAAGGCAGUGGCUCAACCAUUGUAUGCAUUGGAAACUGGUAGACUUGAGUGCAGGAGAGGAGAGUGGAAUUCCAUGUGUAGCGGUGAAAUGCGUAGAUAUAUGGAGGAACACCGGUGGCGAAAGCGGCUCUCUGGCCUGUAACUGACACUGAGGCUCGAAAGCGUGGGGAGCAAACAGG